GGGCUUCCAUUCCAAAUCCAUCAUGGCCGACACUACAGAGUACAGACAUUUUCUAGCAUUCAAAGAGUAACAUCAUAGCACGCUAUCAGAAAGAUUUCCUUGAUACAAAUUAGUGUUCUUCCCAAUCGUACCCACUUUUAAAAUUAUUCAGAGAAUCUGGUUCGACCAAUCAACAAUUUAAAAUCGGAAUACAAAUCCUGGUUUUUGUGAUUUAACGUUUUUCAAUCGACAUUCAUCGACAUUUCAAAAAGGAAUGGCUGUAUCACAGAAAGUUUCGAACGUUAUCAUACCAAUUGCGGACAAAAAAUUGGCUUCCGUUUCCAUGUCUCACCUUGUUGAUUGUGGUUAUUUCUGCAAAGACUUGAUUGUUGAUGUAUUUGUUGCUGUGGAACCGUGGCAUUCUCAGAAGUACAGCACUAUUUUGGGACAAAACAAAACCUUCCAUUAAAUUGAUAAGAUAUUUCCAUGGAUUACAUUAGAGGCCCUGAUGCCCGUUUCAGGGUUCCAUCAUUCAAUGGAUGUGUGAAAUCAGCCUCCAGUAGGCCUAACAGAAUGUUGUCUCUAAACAACUAUGGGUUUGAUGACUUAACAUUUCAUGUGAAAAAAGGAUUGGAUCCUGGUACAAAGCUCUUUCAGGCUCCACCUUUUGUUGUUGGCGGUUUUGUUGGCAGCAAAAGUUGUGAACAAAAAAGUAUAUGUAUAUCGUUUAAUUUCAAGGAUAUGUUUGAAAGUUUAAUGGACACAGUGAUACCUAAUGUCAAAUCAUCUAAUCAUACUCAAACUAAACUAUUUGGUGAAAAGUAUUGUCAGAAACAGACAGUGACUAUUCCUAAUAGUUGUGCGAAAACGAAAACAUCGCCAAGUAAAAGUGAAUAUCUACCACCAAACGUAGUGAUAUCGUCCCCCGCAGUGACGCAAGCCGUAUCUGUUUCAUCACCUACUAUGCCGAAUCAGCAAGAAAAUCAACUGAGUCCUGCCCCUUGCCGGACCGUUAGUGAAAGCUCGGAAAGCAGUUGGGCUAGUGUGAGUCCGGAAGCGAAUCAAGAUGUGCUCUUAUCUAAUCCAUGGCUGAGAAACAUUGUGGUUUGUGUUGGCGACAGCGACGAUUCUGAUGAAUCUGACUCAGAUUGGGACUGCGUCGAGGAUUUCCAAAGCGAAAACGGCGAAGUUAUUAGUGACUUUAAAUGGAACGGUGAUUCACUAUCUCCAAUUUCGUCACCCGUUAGUCAGACGCCCCCAGUGCCUGCUGCUGCCUUGGACGACUACGACAGCGACGAGAGUGAUGGUGUGUUGAUCUCUUGCGGAAGCGGGUACGUUUUUGACGAUGAGGAGGAAGCCAGAGAACGCAAACUGUCUGAGGAGCGUAUCCAGGAUGCUAAUCGCAGAUGGGAUCGAAAUUUGUCGACAGCUGUCGACGAAACGGACGGAAUUCGGAAAACCAGUCGAUCCAAGCAGGUUCAUUUCCCUGUCGAUAGCAAACUCACUCGCAUCCGUCCAAUGCUCACCUGGACCCACGCUCAUCGAGCUGCCCGUAAAGGGGAUUGGGAGAGGUUUGCUCGUGAUGCAGACCGAUUCCGGGAAAGAAUUGACUCUACUGCUGCCAUUCUAGCCCCUAUUCUCGAUCCAUCGCAUCGCGAUCGUGUUCGCCGGAGAAACCUAAAAUACGAUGCCGAUCAUUCAGACGCGAGCCAUUUGAAAUGAAUGUUGGCGUUGUAAGGUAUCUCCCGAUGCUGCACAUAUAUCUAAUAUUAAAACUCGAACAGCAAUUGUACAUUUCUUAUUUCCUUUACGAAAAAUUGAAAUAUGCAAUUCUUGUAUUAUUAUGUGUAGGACCAUUUUUGGAAUUUGAUUCCAACCCCAUUCAGAUUCCUAAUGUUUCUACGCAUCUUGAAAACCCCGCACUCUUAUGAAACAAACUAAACAUGUUAUGGAAUUUCUUCACCUUCCGAAUUUAGCUUCUGUAAUAGAGAAAAAGAAAAAAACAAGUAUCAGAAAAAAAAAAUACGAAAAAACCUAUUUGUGAUUCCCAAGUGAUUUGUCAAAAGGUCUGUCGAUUUCAAAAUUUGAAACUUGUUUGGAAUGAAGACCCAUGAGAGGGAGGCGGUUCCUUUUAGAUUGGACCGUUAUUGACAAAAAAAAAAAAGAGAAGAAAACAGUUAUUCCCAUUUUGGUCGUUUGUUCUGGUGUUCUUCUCUCACUCUUUUUAUUUCUUAUCCAACCCCAGACAGAUGGUUUUUGAAUGCAUUUCUAGCAUGAGGGGAAUUACGUACGAAGAAGUGCACGCACCUGACGCCAAAACUACUUCUCAAGUUUUAGCGUUACGUGGCCAAGUCAACCCAGCUACCAGCAUUUUUUUCGUUCCUGAUUCUGAUGGCUGGGUCUAUUAUCCUGCCGUGAUGGAUGACCCAUCAAUGGAUCUUCGACCCUCACUCACUCGACGCAACAUUCGCUUUUUCCUCUGGACCAG
rnacentral:misc_RNA from 1 species